rnacentral:rRNA from 1 species
AUACGUAGGGGGCGAGCGUUGUCCGGAAUGAUUGGGCGUAAAGGGCGCGUAGGCGGCGCGGUAAGUCUGGAGUGAAAGUCCUGCUUUCAAGGUGGGAAUUGCUUUGGAUACUGCCGCGCUUGAGUGCAGGAGAGGUUAUCGGAAUUCCCGGUGUAGCGGUGAAAUGCGUAGAGAUCGGGAGGAACACCAGUGGCGAAGGCGGGUAACUGGGCUGCAACUGACGCUGAGGCGCGAAAGUGUGGGGAGCAAACAGGAUUAGAUACCCUGGUAGUCCACACUGUAAACGAUGAAUGCUAGGUGUAAGAGGUAGCGACCCCUUUUGUGCCGGAGUCAACACAAUAAGCAUUCCGCCUGGGGAGUACGGCCGCAAGGUUGAAACUCAAAGGAAUUGACGGGG